rnacentral:rRNA from 1 species
AGUGAACGCUGGCGGUAGGCCUAACACAUGCAAGUCGAACGGCAGCACAGUAAGAGCUUGCUCUUACGGGUGGCGAGUGGCGGACGGGUGAGGAAUACAUCGGAAUCUACUUUUUCGUGGGGGAUAACGUAGGGAAACUUACGCUAAUACCGCAUACGACCUACGGGUGAAAGCAGGGGAUCUUCGGACCUUGCGCGAUUGAAUGAGCCGAUGUCGGAUUAGCUAGUUGGCGGGGUAAAGGCCCACCAAGGCGACGAUCCGUAGCUGGUCUGAGAGGAUGAUCAGCCACACUGGAACUGAGACACGGUCCAGACUCCUACGGGAGGCAGCAGUGGGGAAUAUUGGACAAUGGGCGCAAGCCUGAUCCAGCCAUACCGCGUGAGUGAAGAAGGCCUUCGGGUUGUAAAGCCCUUUUGUUGGGAAAGAAAAGCAGCAGGUUAAUACCCCGCUGUUCUGACGGUACCCAAAGAGUAAGCACCGGCUAACUUCGUG